rnacentral:lncRNA from 1 species
AUUAUUAUUUGUGCUUCUCUUCUUCCUCCCACCCUCCACCCUCAAGUAGACCCCAGUGUCUUUCAUUCCCCAAAAGCUAACAUUUUAAACCAGCCCAAAAUAUAAUAAUUUUAAUCUGAAGUGGCAUGUGAUUUCUGUUAAUGAUAAAAAAGAUAACAUUUGAAAAGGAGUCCUUUUGAUAACCCAUGUAUUAAGGACUAAAUGUUUGUACCUUCUCCCACCCCCAGAAUCAUAUGUGAAACCCUAACAACCAAUGUGAAUGUAUUUGGAGAUAGGGUCAUAAGCAGAUGGUAGAGUUUAAAUGAGGUCAUAAGGGUGGAGCCCUAAUCUGAUAGAGCUGUUGCACUUUUCAGAAGAGGAAGAGAUACUGGAACGUGUCUCUGUCUGUGUGCAUUCAGAAAGAAGGCCAUGUGAUACAGUUUGGAUGUUGCCUCCAACCAAAUGUCAUGUCAAAAUGUAAUCUUCAGUAUUGGAGGGGAGGCAUGGUGGGGGGAGAUUGGGUCCCCCCACCCAGUGGAGGCAAGUUUCUCAUGAAUGGUUUAGCACCAUCCCCCUUGGUACUGUCUUCACAAUAGUGAGCUCUCAUGAUAUUUGGUCAUUUAAAAGUGUGUAGCACUUCCCCCUUCACGUUCUCUUGCUCCUGCUCUGGCCAUGUGACAUGCCUAUUCCCUCUUCACCUUCUGGCAUGACUGUUAAGUUUCCUGUGGCCUCCCUGGAAGCUGAGCAGAUUCCAUCAUCAUGCUUCCUGUACAGUCUGCAGAACCAUGAGCCAAUUAAGCCUCUUUUCUUUAUAAAUUACCCAGUCUGAGGUACUUCUUUAUAGCACUGCAAGAAUGGACUAAUACGCUAUGUGAAGACAAAGGGGAUGUCUGCAAGCCAGGACGAGUGCGUCUACCAGAAACUGAGUUCUGCUGGACUUUGAUCUAGGACAUCCAGCCUCCAGAAUGGAAUGUGCCAUAUGUGGAGACCUGCAUGGAAAGGAACUGAGGAUGCUCUCUCACUAAAAGCUAGAAGGAACUGAGGCCCUCAGUCAACAGUCUACAAGACACUGAAUCUUGCCAGCAGCCAAGCAGUGAGCUUGAAAGCAGAUCUAUCAUCAGCUGAACCUUCAGAUGAGACCGCAGCCUAAGCAGAUACCUUGGUUGCAGCCAUGUGAGACAACCUGAAACAGAGGGCACAGCUAAGCCUCAGCCAGGUUCAUGACCCUCUGAGGAAACUGUGAGAAAGCAAAUGUCAUUUUAAGCUAUUUAAUUUUGGAGGUAGUUUAUUACACAACAAUAAAUAACUAUUAUAAUUAUCUUGAGGAUUUAUUUCCUGGGGAGAAUACAUGGAAUUGCAUAUAUAGGUCCUCAUAUGCAGAAUACUGGUACCCUAGAGAUGUUCACCCCAGAGAUGUUUUAGGAACCUGUGAAUAUGUUACAUUAAAUGGCAAAGUUUUCCUGGAUGGUUUAAGUUUAAGAUGGAAAAGUUUUACUGGAUUAUCCAGUGGGUCCAAUCUAGUAACAUGAGUCCUUAAAAAUGGAGAAUAUUUUUUGGCCAUGAUCAGAGAGACAUGUGAUGAUGGAAAAAGUGUCAGAGAUGCAAUGUGAGGGGACUAAAACUGCUGUUGCUGACUUUAAAGAUGGAGAGAGGGGAACCCGAGUCAAGGAAUGCAAAUGGCCUCUGGAAGCUGGAAAAAGCAAGAAAUGGAUUCUCCUUUAGAGCCUGUGGAAUAAAAUGCAGUCAUGCUGACACCUUGAUUUUACCUCAGUGAGACCAAUACUGGAGUAUGACCUUCGGAGCUGAAUAAAAUUAUACGUACACAUCUUAAUUUCUUGGGAUUUGAUUACUUCUUCUGCUUUGAAAUUAGACCAAGUUUAGCCUGCCUUUGCUAUUUUGGCGUAUCUCCAAUUCUUCAUGAUUUUCUCAUAAAAUUGUUGAACAUCUACAUACGAAGAUGAAGGGAAAACUUGAAAGCAGUCAGAGGAAAAAAAAGGACACAUUACCUUCAAAUGGACAAUAAGAUGGAUGGCUAAUUAAAAUAUUAUUGCAGUAUAAUUGAUGUUUGCUACAUUGUACAUAUUUAAAGUGUACAAUGUGAUCAUUUUCCACGUAUGUAUAUACAUGUAAAAGCAUCACCGGAAUAAAGAUUACAAACAUUUCUGUUACUCCUCAGAGUUCCUUAUGCCACUGUGUAAUCCAACCAUCCUCUACCCCAUCCCCAGAAAACUGAUUUGCUUUCUGUUACUGUAAUUAGUUUGGAUAUCCUAUAAUUUUUCAUAUGGAUGGAAAUGCAGUAUGUAUUUUGCCUGGCUUCUUUUACUCAGCAUAGCAAUUUUGAGAUUUAUUCAUUUUGUUGCAUGUAUCAAUAGUUCAUUCCUUUUUAUUAAGUAAUGUUUCCUUGCAUGAUUACACCACAGUUUAUCUAUUCCUCUGUUGAUGGACAUUUGGACUAUUUCAACUUUUGCCUAUGAACAUUUGUGUAAAAUGAACAUUUGUGUGAAAACCUUUGUGUUGACCUGUGUUUUUGAUUUUCUGUGGUAAAUACCUAGCAAUAGAAUGGUUGGAUUCUUUAGUAGGUAUAUGUAUGAC